CCUACGGGAGGCAGCAGUGGGGAAUAUUGCACAAUGGGGGAAACCCUGAUGCAGCGACGCCGCGUGAGUGAAGAAGUCUUUCGGUAUGUAAAGCUCUAUCAGCAGGGAAGAAGAAAGACGGUACCUGCAAAGGAAGCACCGGCUAACUCCGUGCCAGCAGCCGCGGUAAUACGGAGGGUGCGAGCGUUACUCGGAAUUACUGGGCGUAAAGCGCUCGUAGGCGGUAUGUCAAGUCAAGGGUGAACUCCCCGCGCUCAACGGGGGAACUGCCUUUGAAACUGGCAAACUGGAGUGUGUGAGAGGAUAGUGGAAUUCCAGGUGUAGGAGUGAAAUCCGUAGAUAUCUGGAGGAACAUCAGUGGCGAAGGCGACUAGCUGGAACGUAACUGACGCUGAGGAGCGAAAGCGUGGGUAGCAAACAGGAUUAGAUACCCCGGUAGUC
rnacentral:rRNA from 1 species